rfam:Ictidomys tridecemlineatus contig028889, whole genome shotgun sequence.
AGGGAUAUAGUUCAGUUGGUAGAAUGCGUGCCUUGCAUGCACAAGGCCCUGGAUUCAAUCCCAGUACCACAC